rnacentral:rRNA from 1 species
UACGUAGGGUGCGAGCGUUAAUCGGAAUUACUGGGCGUAAAGCGUGCGCAGGCGGUUUUAUAAGACAGGUGUGAAAUCCCCGGGCUCAACCUGGGAAUUGCAUUUGUGACUGUAAGACUAGAGUUCGGUAGAGGGGGAUGGAAUUCCGCGUGUAGCGGUGAAAUGCGUAGAUAUGCGGAGGAACACCGGUGGCGAAGGCAAUCCCCUGGACCUGUACUGACGCUGAUGCGCGAAAGCGUGGGGAGCAAACAGG